UACGGAGGGUGCAAGCGUUAUCCGGAUUCACUGGGCUUAAAGGGCGCGUAGGAGGGCAGGUAAGUCAGUGGUGAAAUCCCCGUGCUUAACAUGGGAACUGCCGUUGAUACUAUCUGUCUUGAAUGCCGUGGAGAUGAGCGGAAUAUGUCAUGUAGCGGUGAAAUGCUUAGAUAUGACAUAGAACACCAAUUGCGAAGGCAGCUCGUUACACGAACAUUGACUCUGAGGCUCGAAAGCGUGGGGAUCAAACAGG
rnacentral:rRNA from 1 species